AUUGAACGCUGGCGGCAGGCCUAACACAUGCAAGUCGAGCGGAGCGGCGGACGGGUGAGUAAUGUCUGGGAAACUGCCUGAUGGAGGGGGAUAACUACUGGAAACGGUAGCUAAUACCGCAUACUAUCAGAUGAGCCUAGGUCGGAUUAGCUAGUUGGUGGGGGAAAGGCCUACCAAGGCGACGAUCCGUAACUGGUCUGAGAGGAUGAUCAGUCACACUGGAACUGAGACACGGUCCAGACUCCUACGUGAGGCAGCAGUGGGGAAUAUUGGACAAUGGGCGAAAGCCUGAUCCAGCCAUGCCGCGUGUGUGAAGAAGGUCUUCGGAUUGUAAAGCACUUUAAGUUGGGAGGCGUUACCCGCAGAAGAAGCACCGGCUAACUCCGUGCCAGCAGCCGCGGUAAUUC
rnacentral:rRNA from 1 species